rnacentral:rRNA from 1 species
AACGCGAAGAACCUUACCAAGGUUUGACAUGCAGGGAAAAGCCGUAGAGAUACGGUGUCCGUAAGGGUCCUGCACAGGUGGUGCAUGGCUGUCGUCAGCUCGUGUCGUGAGAUGUUGGGUUAAGUCCCGCAACGAGCGCAACCCUCGCCCUUAGUUGCCAUCAUUUAGUUGGGCUCUCUAAGGGGACUGCCGGUGAUAAGCCGCGAGGAAGGUGGGGAUGACGUCAAGUCCUCAUGGCCCUUACGGGCUGGGCUACACACGUGCUACAAUGGCGGUGACAAUGGGACGCAAUGGGGCAACCCUGCGCAAAUCUCAAAAAGCCGUCUCAGUUCGGAUUGUGCUCUGCAACUCGAGCACAUGAAGUUGGAAUCGCUAGUAAUCGCAGAUCAGCACGCUGCGGUGAAUACGUUCCCGGGCCUUGUACACACCGCUAGUC